AAAAUCCCCAGACAAUAAAUCAAUGGGAUAGAAAAGCAGGGCCAUAUUUUCAAUAUAACCAAACUUUUAUACAAAACACAAACCACUUCAAAAUUAUUCACAUCAAAAUGGAGGUCUCAAAAGAAGACAGAGACUUAGACGAACUGGGCCGUACUCAAGGCCCCUCUCAGGAUUGCCUUCUUCCUCCAAAAAUCUUUCUCCUUAAGAUUCGCCUCCGAGUCCUCCUUCUCGGAUUCCUCCUUCUCAGCUCUUCAGCGGGGUCCUGAAAUGGUUUUCCCCAAACUGGGAUGAGACUACGUCUCAGCGAGUUCUACCCCACUAAGCCCGAUUAGAUAAACUAUUAUACUAUAGGCUGCCUAAACACGCACAGGGUAGAUGACUUACCUUGGCCUCUGAUCUCACCUGUAAGUCAGUACAAUUCAUAAUAGGCACCCAAGCAAUCAUAUCACCGAUCGAAGCAUCGAUCAAAUCGACCUAGUCGAUUAUAUUCCCACAAGACCACUCACGGUGAUUCCCAUUCAGUCAAUCAAUUCACAUCAAAUCAAAGCAUCGACCUAGUCGAUUACAUGUCAAACAAAUCACUCUCCCCAGAGGAGUAUCUAAAAGCGAGGCCACGUGCAUUCUCUAGGACGACAUUCCAAGUCUCCGAGUCCACGUGCCUCGAACCUUGGGCCCACGUGCAUUCUCUCAGGCGACCUUUUCGCCAAAGUGAUACAUCAAGUCACCGAGCCCACGUGCCCUUUUAGAUGCCCGGGCCCACGUGCAUUCUCUUAGGUGCAUCUCACCAAAGCGAUGCAUCAAUUCGCCGAGCCCACGUGCCCUUUUAGAUGCCCGGGCCCACGUGCAUUCUCUAAUUCGCCGAGCCCACGUGCCCUUUUAGAUGCCUUCACUUAGUCACAGAGCUCCAUCAAUGCUGACGUACAGUGAACACUUUACUAUGCUCUCGGGCGUCUUUUUCGCCAAGGUGAUACACUGAUCACAGAGCCAACGUAAACAAUUCAAUAUGCUCUCGGGCGUCUUUUUCGCCAAGGUGAUACACUGAUCACAGAGCCAACAUAAACAAUUCAAUAUGCUCUCGGGCGUCUUUUUCGCCAAGGUGAUACACUGAUCACAGAGCCAACAUAAACAAUUCAAUAUAAUCAACCACUAAACUCACGUGCAUUUUCCAGGUGAUAUUCCAAUUCACCGAGCCCACGUGCUUCCUUUCAGGUGAUAACCAAUACCCAACGAUUUCUCAAUCAAUUAAUUAAAUCAACUCAACAAAGCAUUAUAAAUGCUAAAUAACACACUUGGCCAAUUCAAUCUCAAUCAAUUCCAAUCAAAUUAGGGUAAAUCCCUAAUUUAUCACAAUUUAUUCAAUUCCAUACAACGUGGAGCUCAAAUAAAUAAACGGACUGCGCCACGACGAUCAACACGAGAUUUCGGUCGUCGGCCAUCAAAAUCUUAAUUUCCGAAAAAUAAUUAAUUAAUAAAUAUUAAAAAUUCAAUUUAGUACAAAAUAAAGCCCGAUUAAAUAAACGGACUUCACCACGGUCAUCAGCAUAAUUUUCCGGUUCCAGGCCAUCUCAGUUGAAUUUCCGGAAAAUAAAUAAAUAAUUAAUUAAUUUCGAAUAUUAAAUAAUUAAUAUUAAAAAUCCCAUUUAGCUCAAAUUAAAGCCCGAUUAAAUAAACGGACUUCACCACAGUCAUCCGCAUAAUAUUCCGGUUCCGAACCAUCUCCCUUGAAUUUUCGGAAAAUAAAUAAUUAUUUAAUUUAAUUCCGAAAAUUAAUAUUUAAAUACUAAAAAAUCCACUUAGGCCCGAAAAGCCUAAUUGGAGCACACUAAGGGUCGGGAAAAAUCCCGAGGCACUUCCAAUAAUUAGUAGACCACGUCUACUUGCUAAUUGUGCAAUCAAUUUAUCUAAAUCGCAUCACAAUUGACUAAUAAUUGCUAAUUUAUUCUAAUCUAACAACCUAAACAUAAUUAAUUAAAUCUAAACCAACCUUAAGCAUAAUUAGCCAACUAAUCCUGGAUUAGUGAGAUUACUCACCAAAUCGCGCGCAAGUCAGAUCAAUCCGACGGCGGCGACGCGAGGAACAAAACUUCCCAAAGUGACUCACGGAUCCGGGGUCGAGAAACGGCCCAAAACGGGCCCGAACCAGCUGGAAACCCAUUUCGUGGGUUUCUGCCCAUGGUGGUCGGAGCAGAUCCGGCGGCCAAAACGGCGAGGGAAGGCCGGCGGAAGGUGAGGGGGUUGCGGGGGAGGUCCGGCGAGGCUAGGCGGUGGCCGGAGGUGGUCGGACGGUGGUUGGUCGGUGCGGAACAGGGGCGAACAGCGGCUGGUUCGCGCGGCCUGGGCGUGCACAGAUGGCGGAACGGCGGCGAGCGGCGAGCGGCGGGCGCUCGGGCGCGGGCGGCGGCGGGACGAGCGGCUGCUGUCUUCGUCUGGCGAUGAUGCUCGCUGCUUCUGUUCUUCUUCGGCUUCUGGUUCGCACACGAAGAAAGAAGAAGAAGAAGCUGGUUCACGAGGGAGUUGGGGAAAAAGAGGAAAGAGAGAGAUAAGGGAGGGGGUUUGACCGGUCAAAAAGGAUAAGAAGGAGGAGAAGAAGCCAAUUUAAAAUUGGCAAGGGGAGUGUUCGG
rnacentral:lncRNA from 1 species